CGUCUUGGGACCUAACCCCAGGAAGUCAGAUGUCCCUGUCUAGCAGGUCGCCUGGUUAGAGGCCGUGGACGAAGCGGUCCAGGCAUAGCCAGCUGCAGGGCGCGGCCUCGGCCUCGGCGGCGCUGCUGGUGGCCCUGGUCAGUGAGCGCACGCACUCCUGGACUAAGCUCUAUGCGACUCAUUUUCAUCUAGCAUUACCUCUCCAAAACCUGAAUCUCCACAAGAAAGCCAUACAGCAAUUAACCAGUGUUGCAAGGACUGCUUCUGUAAUAAAGAGAUCAUGUGUACUCAUUGUUGAAAACAGGGAAAGUAAAAGAAGUACAAAUCCCACUACCCACAGUGCCUUCUGCAUUUCGUAAAGCUUUGACAGCACUCUCAAAUGUGGGAAGACAAAUUGAUGCAACUCUCUUGAAAAGCAAUCUGGCAAUAUGAACCAAGAGCUAUGAAAAGGCUUAUGCUAUUAUAAUUAAAUGGCUGUAAUGUUGGCUGUAAAUAUGAAAUUUUCUUUCACACACCAAUAUUUUCAAGAAUGGCAUAUUCACAUGCAGUAUGUGUAAAGAUCUUGCCAGCUGGUGCCUGGGUGCAUAGACUGCCUAUGGCUCUUGAAUUGCAUGCUGAAAACUUCAUAAUGAAACCAGAAAAUCACAGAAGCAUAAACACAGCUGCUUAUGCCUAUAAAGACUAACAUAUUCCAACCUCACCUUGUAUUUCUGCUGCCUCAGCAAAAGUAUUCAGAUGUAAUCAGUUAUUUCUCUAAGGAGCCCUUAUUCCUUUCGGUGGAGAAUAAUAUUCAGAAGCUAAGAUCUGAGAUAUAGUUAUUGCUGGUGAAAAGGAUGUUUAAGCAAAGUGAGAGAAUCUCAUCAAAAAAAGGGUAACUGAAAGAGUGGUAAGUCAGACAAAGAAGAAAAAUGCCAAAGAAGAGGGUCAAGAACAACUCAUAUGACUCCGAAAUCCCUUACCCACAUUGGAGUUAUAAAAAGUUCAGGAGCUGGAGACGAAAGGCAGAUUUAUAAAGAGGAUUCCUUGGAGAGUUGUUAUAAUGCUAUGAGAAAAUUGAAGCCAACAGAAGUUAACUAACGUGCCUAAAAUAACACAGCUGUGGCAAAUUAGGACCAGAACCAAGGUCUCCUGACCUAAAUGCUACUCCCACCAUACUACAUUAUCUGCUGUUUAAAAUUUUGCAAAUCCAUCGCUGGUAAGGAGAUGGAAAAUAAGAAAGAAGGAGAGAGAAAACAACCACAUGGAAAAGUUCUCCAGGAAGAGAAUCAAUAGGGUUUUUCAGCUGCUUCAAAAAAGCAUCUAUAGCAUCC